rnacentral:rRNA from 1 species
AACGUAGGAGACGAGCGUUAUCCGGAUUUACUGGGCGUAAAGCGCGUGUAGGAGGCGCUACAAGUUGGAUGUGAAAGCUCCCGGCUUAACUGGGAGAGGUCGUUCAAGACUGUAGUGCUAGAGUGAGGCAGAGGUAGAUGGAACUCCGGGAGUAGUGGUGAAAUGCGUAGAUAUCCGGAAGAACACCAGAGGCGAAAGCGAUCUACUGGGCCUAAACUGACACUGAGACGCGAAAGCCAGGGUAGCAAACGGG